GAGCGAAUGGAUUAAGAGCUUGCUCUUAUGAAGUUAGCGGCGGACGGGUGAGUAACACGUGGGUAACCUGCCCAUAAGACUGGGAUAACUCCGGGAAACCGGGGCUAAUACCGGAUAACAUUUUGAACCGCAUGGUUCGAAAUUGAAAGGCGGCUUCGGCUGUCACUUAUGGAUGGACCCGCGUCGCAUUAGCUAGUUGGUGAGGUAACGGCUCACCAAGGCAACGAUGCGUAGCCGACCUGAGAGGGUGAUCGGCCACACUGGGACUGAGACACGGCCCAGACUCCUACGGGAGGCAGCAGUAGGGAAUCUUCCGCAAUGGACGAAAGUCUGACGGAGCAACGCCGCGUGAGUGAUGAAGGCUUUCGGGUCGUAAAACUCUGUUGUUAGGGAAGAACAAGUGCUAGUUGAAUAAGCUGGCACCUUGACGGUACCUAACCAGAAAGCCACGGCUAACUACGUGCCAGCAGCCGCGGUAAUACGUAGGUGGCAAGCGUUAUCCGGAAUUAUUGGGCGUAAAGCGCGCGCAGGUGGUUUCUUAAGUCUGAUGUGAAAGCCCACGGCUCAACCGUGGAGGGUCAUUGGAAACUGGGAGACUUGAGUGCAGAAGAGGAAAGUGGAAUUCCAUGUGUAGCGGUGAAAUGCGUAGAGAUAUGGAGGAACACCAGUGGCGAAGGCGACUUUCUGGUCUGUAACUGACACUGAGGCGCGAAAGCGUGGGGAGCAAACAGGAUUAGAUACCCUGGUAGUCCACGCCGUAAACGAUGAGUGCUAAGUGUUAGAGGGUUUCCGCCCUUUAGUGCUGAAGUUAACGCAUUAAGCACUCCGCCUGGGGAGUACGGCCGCAAGGCUGAAACUCAUAGGAAUUGACGGGGGCCCGCACAANCGGUGGAGCAUGUGGGUUUAUUUCUAAGCAACGCGAAGAAACUUUACCAGGUCUUGACAUCCUCUGAAAACCCUAGAGAUAGGGCUUCUCCUUCUGGAGCAGAGUGACAAGUGCUGCAUGGUUGUCCUCCGCUCGAGUCUUGAGAUGUUGGGUUAAGUCCCGGGAGCAAGAGCAACCCUUGAUCUUAGUUGCCAUCAUUAAGUUGGGCACUCUAAGGUGACUGCCGGUGACAAACCGGAGGAAGGUGGGGAUGACGUCAAAUCAUCAUGCCCCUUAUGACCUGGGCUACACACGUGCUACAAUGGACGGUACAAAGAGCUGCAAGACCGCGAGGUGGAGCUAAUCUCAUAAAACCGUUCUCAGUUCGGAUUGUAGGCUGCAACUCGCCUACAUGAAGCUGGAAUCGCUAGUAAUCGCGGAUCAGCAUGCCGCGUGAAUACUCCCCGGCC
rnacentral:rRNA from 2 species